rnacentral:rRNA from 1 species
CCUACGGGUGGCAGCAGUGGGGAAUAUUGGACAAUGGGGGCAACCCUGAUCCAGCCAUGCCGCGUGUGUGAAGAAGGCCCUCGGGUUGUAAAGCACUUUCAGUGAGGAAGAACGCCUGGUGGUUAAUACCCAUCAGGAAAGACAUCACUCACAGAAGAAGCACCGUCUAACUCCGUGCCAGCAGCCGCGGUAAUACGGAGGGUGCGAGCGUUAAUCGGAAUUACUGGGCGUAAAGCGCGCGUAGGUGGCUUGAUAAGCCGGUUGUGAAAGCCCCGGGCUCAACCUGGGAACGGCAUCCGGAACUGUCAAGCUAGAGUGCAGGAGAGGAAGGUAGAAUUCCCGGUGUAGCGGUGAAAUGCGUAGAGAUCGGGAGGAAUACCAGUGGCGAAGGCGGCCUUCUGGACUGACACUGACACUGAGGUGCGAAAGCGUGGGUAGCAAACAGGAUUAGAUACCCUGGUAGUC